CCGUGUGCGCUAUGGGUGGGCGUUGCGGGGACGGCGCUUUUCUCGGCUCCUUCCUUUUUUUGUCUCGCGUCUGCGGGGCGGGGCGGGGCGGCGCGGCGCGUUACCCGUUCGUCGUCGGCGGCGGCGCCGGCCGCCGCUACAGCCGCGGAGGGGGCCGGGCCGCCUUCGCCUUCUUCUUCCCGGCCGGGAGGGAGGAGCUGGAGGUCUUCGCGUCGGAGGCGGACGUCUUCGAGGUCCUCCGCGGGGGCGGCGGCGGCGGCGGCGGGGUCGUCGCGGCGGGGAGGUGCGCGGCGUUGGGGCGGGGCCUCCUGCUGAGCCCGCUGCUGCUGGGGGCGGCGCUCUUCUUCGAGGCGGAGCAGCAGCCGGAGGUGCUGCCUAGCCGGUUCCCUCUUUUCUCCUCCUGUCGCUGCCUACCCGCACUUCUCGGCAGUCUAAGGCCGGGGUGCUGCGGGGACGGACUGUUUUUCAAUAACCAGAAGUAGGAGCUAUCCGACGUCUUCUUCCUGUGUAUGCCGCAUAAGAGUCUCGGCCAACUACUACUUCUCGACGGGCUGAUGUCUCUAUAACAGUUCGUGGGGUACCUAAAAAGCUGUCAAUCCUUCUUCGAACUAUUCCCCCGUAUACGGUUGAACCUCGUUAAACUCCUGCUACACAAAAACUAUUGGAGCUUACGGUACAGGAUGUUAAGUGGUCUGUGUCAUAUGAUAGCUGUCCGUGCUAGAUAAGUUCUCCAACGAUUCUUCCUGAAACUCUUAGAAUCCGUUCUAUCACUACGGUCACUUGGUCUUGGUCUUGGUAAUGGUCUUGGCCUUGGUUUUGGUGUCGCAGCUUCCCCGUCCGGAGGUUUCUUGCGACAGUUCGUCGUUCAACUCGUCGGUGGUCGUCUUGCACGAUGGCGUUUGAAAAGACGCCGUCGUGAACGAUACCGACCUUUAUCACCUGAAAUACGCGUGAGUCCCAAACUAUAUGUCGCCUCUUAACGUCUACAUGACUUUCGAAGAAAACGGUUAUCUUCGUUACUUGUGUUAACCAGGUCACUCGCGUUUAACCUUUCGUAACUUCUAAUAAGUCCCAGACCCUCAUUUACCAGUCCUUUUUACCCCUUCUUCGGUGAAGGCCAUCUUCUCUCAGCGGCCUGAUGUAUAAUAGUCUUAGUUGGUAGGUCAAGUUACAUACUCGACGGUCACCGUUGGAGUAUGUUGCCCUGUUCCUUCCAAGAACAUGGUUAACCACGAGUCAACGGCGUCCGGAUAAGGGCGUCAGACCGUGCAAAACGACGUGUCGAACCAGGACAACCAACCCUUCAACGUAGCUUCGCUUAACUUGUCCAGUAAGGGGGACCUUGUCGUAAACCAGCGCCCACCCAUCCUCUAUCGCUUAGUGGUUUGAGUAAAGUCGGUGGACAUGGUUGAAGUAGAGGCUAUGGUUGUGGUGGUGGUUCGUCGUGUCGCCGUAGCUCACUCGUCUUUUGACAUCUACUAGGACGUUCGCGUCCGGUAAGUUGUCCCGGAGUACGUCUACGACACAGUGUACGCAGACGGUUAUUGCGAGUCUCCUAGCUAAGAGUCCGUCAUGGUUCGGGCGUUACACCUAGCAACUGCGUCCAAGGUCAUCUGGCUCCACUUGUAAGGCAACUCGACUUCUCGUCGGUAUUACAACUUCUUGCCGGGUGGUACGUGGUUUGACACUUACCAAAAUUACGACACGGUCCCAGUUAGUACAAACGUGGAUGGCGCGUCGACCAGCGCUUGGCCUACGUCUGCGUAUACCGGCUGACUAUCUCUGGGUUCGAGCUGUACCUAUUAAACUGUAAACCUGCGUACUAAGACCGGUGCCAAAGCGCCCGUGGUUCGUUCCUGAAACGACUUAGUAUAACACGAGCAACUAAAAAAAAAGCUCAGCGACAACGACACGGCGUGGCACCGGAACAGAGAGGUAACAAACAAAAAGAAAGCUCUUACCCAUAGAGGUAACAAGCAACAGACACCACAUUAACGAAUCAAUGAAUCCUCAAUCUUAUCGUACGUCUAACGUCUCUAUACACACAUCUCCCAUAAUUUAAUUCAGCUCAAGUCUCUAAGUUUUUUCAAGACUACAACAUCUUUGGUGUCCCCUUAGUUAGACAUAUACAAUAUAACUCACAACACCAUAACAACGGUGUCAACCAGUUAGCAGACAGAUUUCUUUUCUUUUGAAAAUUAAACGAUUGUUUGAGAGUCCAACCACUAUAAAACGUGAA
rnacentral:rRNA from 1 species